rnacentral:rRNA from 1 species
AUUGAACGCUGGCGGCAGGCCUAACACAUGCAAGUCGAACGAGUGGCGGACGGGUGAGGAAUGUCUGGGAAACUGCCCGAUGGAGGGGGAUAACUACUGGAAACGGUAGCUAAUACCGCAUACCCUCGGAUGUGCCCAGAUGGGCUGCGCUAGUAGGUGGGGUAACGGCGCACCUAGGCGACGAGCCCUAGCUGGUCUGAGAGGAUGAGCAGCCAAACGGGAACGGAGGCACGGUCCAGAUUCCGACGGGAGGCCGCAGUGGGGAAGAUUGCACAAUGGGCGCAAGCCUGAGGCCGCCAUGCCGCGUGUAUGAAGAAGGCCUGCGGGUGGUAAAGUACUGUCAGCGAGGAGGCGUUACUCGCAGAAGAAGCACCGGCUAACUCCGUGCCAGCAGCCGCGGUAAUUC